rnacentral:rRNA from 1 species
UACGGGGGGGCAAGCGUUGUUCGGAAUUACUGGGCGUAAAGGGCUCGUAGGCGGCCAACUAAGUCAGACGUGAAAUCCCUCAGCUUAACUGGGGAACUGCGUCUGAUACUGGAUGGCUUGGAUUUGGGAGAGGGAUGCGGAAUUCCAGGUGUAGCGGUGAAAUGCGUAGAUAUCUGGAGGAACACCGGUGGCGAAGGCGGCAUCCUGGACCAAUAUUGACGCUGAGGAGCGAAAGCCAGGGGAGCAAACGGG